AGUAAGACACGGGUGAAGCUGAACUUUUCGGGGCACCUGGGUGGCUCAGUCGGUUAAGCAUUAGACUCUGGCUCAGGUCAUGAUCUCAUGGUUCGUGGGUUUAAGCCCCAGGUCGGGCUCUGUACUGACAGCUCAGCCUGGAGCCUGCUUCUGAUUCUGUGUCUCUCUCUUUCUUUGCCCCUCCCCUGCUCACACUUUGUCUUUUUCUCUCUCAAAAAUAAAUAAAACAUUAACAAAAGUAUUUAAAAAAAGAAAUCGAACUUUUCAAGUUGUAGUAAAACAUACAUAACGUGAAGUUUACUAUGUUAACCAUUUUAAGUGUUCGGCACACACGUGGGGCCCAACUGUUCUCUGCGAGGGCAUCCCGGGCACUGUGGGGACUGAACAGCACUCCUGGCCCCACCCCCUCCAGGCCAGGAGCCCCGCUCCUUACUACCAGAUGUCCCUGGAUACCACCCAGCAUCCCUUGGGGCCAGGAUCGCCCCUACUUGAGGACUGCAUGUGGUACUCAUUCUUUUUUUCCAAACCGUUUGUGUUUUGUCUUUUAACAGCAGAUCCCUACCACUUUUCCAAAAAAACCCACCAGUAAUGUUUUCUCUUACUCGUAUUUGGCCACGUGUACUUCAGCGUCUCAUCUUUCCAUCUCUUGCCCACACAGGACUGUAAGUCCGUGCCUCCUGGCCCCCAGAGGAGGCUGGUGUGCAGAACUAGCCUUCACUGCACUGGAGGGAGCCCUCUGUGUCUGAAGUCUUGGGGAACCUCUCCAGGUGACUCUCUGGAAACUGCAGAGGGCAGGGAGCUCCGUGGGAGAGGGGAAGACAUACCUGAUUUUAAAUCUCUUUCUGUCCAUGGCGCUUUCUGGCUUCCUGCAGUGAAAUGGACAAGACAUGUAAGCUCAUCCAGUGGGUUCUGUAGUUUUUUGAAAACAUCGGAUUGCAAGGCAGCUGCACGGUCUAUCAUAGGAGCCACUUCAAUUCUAACUUAAAUCAAUUAAGAUGAAACCCAACGAAUCAUUCUGUUGCUUGGUUUCACUGGCUGCAUGACAAGCACUCAAGGGCCACACAGGCCUAGUGGCCACCAUAGUGGACUGUGCAGGCACAAGACCAAGGAGAGUUCAAUUCACACUGACGCCGAGGUUACUAAGACUCAACCAGCAUGUCAGCAUUGGUGGGCAAAGGACAUAAAUGUCCAGUAGGACAAGGUCAAGGCAAGCAGUCUUUAACCUGACGACAGACUGAACGAACUCAUGUCUGGUUCUCAAAUCACGAUGAACUGCAUCAUCAGAUUUUAUGUGAAUUUUUGGUUCAUGAUACGGAAUCUGCACCAUCAGAUCUUAGAGCACAGCAUUUACUCUUAUUUCUAUACCAGGAUUGGCAAACAGUGGCUGCAGGCCAAAUGCGGCCUACCGUUUGAUUAUGCAUUAAAGUUUUAUCGAUACACAACACUGCCCAUUUAUGUAUUGUCUUUAACUCUCAUGUGACAAUGGCAGAGUUGAGUGACCUCGACCGAGACCCAAAGGGCUGCAAGGAUGAAAAUAUUUACACUCUGGCCAUUUGCAGGUUGCUGUCACCUGGUCUCUACUAGUGAGGGUAAAGCGAUGUGCCUGCGUUUUCUUUUCAAGGGAGGGAGCAGCUGUUGGAAACCUAAAGUUUAACGCAACGUUCGGCUGCCACCUCCCCCACAGCCUCCCCCUGGUGUCUUUCAGGGUCUAUAGCCUACUUGCCUGUGAGCUGGGCAGACACAAUGGUGCCGUGGGCAGCCAGGGGGAUACCGUGCCCCUGCAGCCUCGCUCGGAGUCCCUGCCGCAACAGCUCCUCCUCUAGGCCCAGACUCAGUGACUGCGAGGCUUGCAGCAGGAAGUGCAGCCGGAAAUGCACGAAGACGCUGGAAUUCCCAUCCCUGCAGGGAGGAGAGAGGCCUUUGGGGAGGGAGGGCUCCUGCUGGAAUCUUCUGGAACCUCUUGGGUGUCCACCGGGGUUCCUUCGCCUGAAAGGAGGCCCUGACCCACCUGUAACUUAGCACGGUGCAGCCCACACAGCUGGCCUCCAACUCGGUCUCCCGAAAGCUGCUUACAAACUGCAACAGAAACCACAGCAGCACGCGCUAAGGCCACGGGCUGGGCGGCUGUCCCGCAGGGACCCGCGGAGUUGGAGAGGGCACGGAAACGUGCCUCCUCUUACACUCAGCACACCCGGCAGUCACAGAGCCGUGUGCGGGACAGGGAAACUUGGAAGUCAUUUGGAUGAAAGUACUGCCCCAUCAGCAGAUGGAUGGAUAGAAUGUGCCCCAUCCACACGGACGGGAGCGAGGCGCGGACACGAGCUGCCUGUGGGACAGACCCUGAACACACAAUGCUCAGAGCGGGAACCAGACACGAGAGUGUGGUUCCCGUGUGUGAAACAUCCAGAACAGGCACAUCCACAGACAAGAAAGGGCUUCAUGGGUGCAGGAGGCUGGGGAGUGACAGCUAGUGGGGAUGGGGUUGCUUUUGGGGUUGGUGGAACAUUCCGGAACUAGACAGAGGUGAUGGCUGCACAAUUUUGUGAAUAUACUAAACACCCCUGAAGUGUUUACUUUAAAAAUGGUUAGUUACAUUUUACAUGAAUUUUUACAUUAAAAUAAACUCUGCUUUGUGCAACCAGA